UACGGAGGGGACUAGCGUUGUUCGGAAUUACUGGGCGUAAAGCGCACGUAGGCGGAUUUGUAAGUCAGGGGUGAAAUCCCGGGGCUCAACCCCGGAACUGCCUUUGAUACUGCAAAUCUCGAGUCCGGAAGAGGUGAGUGGAAUUCCUAGUGUAGAGGUGAAAUUCGUAGAUAUUAGGAAGAACACCAGUGGCGAAGGCGGCUCACUGGUCCGUCCCUGACGCUGAGACGCGAAAGCGCGGGGAGCGAACGGG
rnacentral:rRNA from 1 species